UGUGAUGUGUUAUUUCAAACUAGUGUGCUUUUAUGCAUUCACUAGUUAAAUAGCACAUCAUUAG
rnacentral:pre_miRNA from 1 species